AAAUAAGAAGCAAACUUUGCAUUUAGUUUCGACCUAAAAGUUUGGCCUAUUAGCCCUUAUUUA
rnacentral:tRNA from 1 species